GGGCCUGUAGCUCAGCCUGGUAGAGCAUCGCCCUUGCAAGGCGGGGGCCUCGGGUUCAAAUCCCGACGGGUCCA
rnacentral:tRNA from 2 species